GCUUUUAAUUUCUGCCUAUAUCUCUUCUUCUCUUUUCUUCAUCUUUUUCCUUUCAGAUGCUUCUUUUGGUCUCUCUUCAUAUUUCUUAAAUUUUUAAUCCAAUUGCUGGUGUGUUAAAUUUGAUGGUGAAACUCCAUUUAUAAGCCUCUAAUCUUGCUGAAUUUUGAUUAAUAACAGUGAGCAAACGAAAGGUCAGGCAUCUGAUAUAGGAAUAAUCCCUUCAUCUUCAUGGUUAAUUUUAUUGUUCUUUCUCUCCCCUUUUUUGCUCUUUCAAUAAGUUACAGCCCACACGCAAUUUAUUUAUUGAGAUUAAAGGCUUCUCGCUACACUGAUAUGGGUGUUAAGCCUAAUUAACAAGACAAAUUUUGGGUAUCGCUUCACAGUGCGUAAAAAGUUCUUCGCUUCAUCUUCCUCAGUUCUCUUCCUCUGUUUAUUUUCAGAUUUUUCUUCAUACCACUUGGAUUCUCUUAAUACUUCCUUUAUGUAUUUAAUUUUUCUUUUAGUGCUUUUUCUUGGUUCUCCUCAUACCUCCUAAUUUUGCAAUGACAUUGCUGUUGUGAGAAGAAGGAUUUUAUCUUCCAGUGUUGCUUGAUUAUUUGUUCUAAAGUAAAUGGUAGUAUAUAAUAUAAGCAAAUAAAUGCUUGAUCUUUCUAGCAUGGUAAUGAUUUUUCGGAGCAUUUGUUACUAUCUUUUUUGAUUAUUUUCUUCUGUAUAAGUUUCUUCCGUACAGUUAAUACAUUUUAUUACAAAAUUAAUAUAUCUGUUCGACAAAGAUCAUUCUAGAUUCUUUGAUCCUUCUUUUAUUCUUUAGAGUUCUUUUCUUUCUUAUAGGUAAAAUGGAACAAACCGGUAGAAGCAUACUGACAAGGUAGGAACUAACAGUUAGAACUUAUUAAGCAUUUCGCACAUACCAUAUCGCUAAUGACACAUUAGUAAUAUGUGAUGGAAGUGUUAGUCGGUCGAGAUACCUAAGGAUGAUACUGAUCAAGUUUGAAGCAGUAUCUAAGUUGAGACUGGACAAAGAGAUACGUAUUACCUGUGAAUGAAAUAGACAAUAUACAGAACUUGUAGGAAUUUUAUUGUGAAAUAUGUUGUCUUCUAACCACUUAUUUGGGCUUCUCUUUAGGAGCAAGACACAAGGCUAGUGAGAUGGCAAAGGGUGAUUGAUAGACGUGGGGAAAAAGUAUGCAAAUAGAAAACAAUAUUUAUCUUUGAUGGGCAGAGUGGUGUUGAUUACAUGGUAUUUUGGAUGCAAUGCCUACUUAUGUGAUGUCACUCUUCCCAAUGCCUAUAAAGGUUGCAAAUAAGUUGGACGAAAUGAAAAGCGAUUUUUUAUGCCAAGGAAACAAAGAGAAGAGGCAACAUAUCUAAUAAAGUGGGACAGUGUCAUAUUGGAUAAGAAGAUGCGAGGUUUAGAAAUAAAGAGAAUAAGAAUACAAUCGAGAGUUUACUCAUGAAGUGGUUAUGGAGAUAUCAUGUGGAAGAAGAGGCAGGAUAAUUUAUUCUUAAAAUAUCAUGGUGAAGAGAACUUCACCCUUAAAUCCUGUUACAAGGCCCUGAUGCUAAGAAAUACACAAGUAAGGAAGUGGCCAUAGAAAAGAUUUUAAAAACAAGUAAUCCCUACAAGGUCUAACAUUUUCUAAAGUUUGCAUCCUAGGAGGUUUCUCAUUUGCAAAGGAAAAGAUACAAGAUGUGUAAGAGGUGUUACUUAGUGAAAAGGGAAGCAACAUAUUCCUUCAAUGUGAAGUGACUGCAGAAUUAUGGAACAUAUUCCAGUUUGAAAUAGUCAAUGCCAAAAUCAUGAAAGAGUUCAUAGAAAAAGAAGGUAUGGACAACGAUCCUGGCUUGAAUUUAGUGGACCAUAUAGGGAGAGAAAAAUGUUAGGUGUUGCAAAAGCAAAGCGGAGUUAGUCAGUAUGAUUAUAUAUAAGUGUCUAGCAUUGUUGUCUUUCCGGUGCAAAAACUAUUAUACUAAGGAUUCUAUUAAUAUGCUAAAUUUUAUUAGCCAGCUUCAAAAUUAGAAACGAAUGUGGUUAUUUUUGUUUGUAAUAGCACAAUACCUACUUAGUGCUGUUAUUUUACUCACAAUACUUGAUGCAAAGUGGCUUUAACCCUGCAACUGAGUAGCCAUGUAUUGCCAUUUUCUUGCUCUUUGUUCGUCAUCUUUCCCGUCUUCUAUUUCAUCUUCCUCUGUUCAGAUUUUGCUGAUUUAUGCAUUUCAGUAAAAAAAUAUUACAUGCCCAUAGAGCUAUGCUAAUGUUCUUGAUGCUUUGAAUCCAGAACUGUUAGAGCGGACAGGUCUCUUUCAGUUUGUCUCUUCAGUGGGUGGCGACUGGGCUAUUCAAAGCUCAAAGUUGGUAUCUUUCGUUUAUGUGUUGUUGCUCGACUUUCCUCGGUUAACAUAUGAUGCUACCCUUAGCUAUUGAUGUUAUUGAAGUCGUAUGCUUAAGCUUUGGCUAAUUUAGGAGAUCCAAAUUAUCUCUAUUUUUUUAAGGGUUUCUUUGUACUAUGAUUUUGUUUUCUGUUCUUCGUUUUGGUCUUCUUAUUACCUUUUCUGUUCUUCUAUAUGGUUUCUGUAUUUUGGUCUUUUAAUUCUUUGGUCGUGAUUAUAUUUUGAUGUCACAGUGAUAGUAAAUUCGUAAAUUGAUUGACUUUUAUGAUUUGUGUGUUGAGGAGGGAGCUCAAGCUGAAAGAUCUGAUCAACCCUUUCCUUCGAGCAGUUUGUUUGCGAAAUGAACGUUGACCAUCCAUCUCAUGAAUUUAAGGAUGUCAUUAUGGGAUUCUGGCCCCCCACAUGCUCUACUCCGAUACAAAUAUGUACUGACAGCCAUGGUAUAUUGUAUAUCUUUACAAGUUCUUGCUCCUUCUCCUCUUUGUUACCACAAAGAAACAAAGAUUACAAAGGCUAUACUGCCCCAGACAAAUUUCGGCCGAGAGAAAGCAGGGAUCAGAGAGUUCGUUUUUAGACAAUAAUUGUUCAAGAUUAAAACGAGGAACAAAUUUGUGUAAUACUCUAUGGUGAUGACAUUGACGAUGUGAUAAGUUGUUCGAACUUUUCGAGACGUAUUUCAACUGCCAAAGUUAGAUAUCCACGCCUUAUUCACUAGACAUCGGCCAAUUUGAAUGGGUCGUCGACAGGUUCACUAUUGUGGAGUCUAUUGCAAGGAAUAAUGAAAAUGUAACUGAAUGUUCGUCUUGGUAAUUUCACUCCCAAAAAUGUAACUGUCAAAGAAUUUUUUGUUAACGUGAUCUCGAGGGACCUUGUGAUCACGAUCUCUCCUUUGAGCUAUUAGUUUGCAUAUGUAAAUGCUUUGGAAGUUGCCUUGUACCUGAUAUCCUUAUUACUGAUGAUGGCUCCACCAUUAGUCCAGCGGGGAGUGGUAUGUAUGCGCAGGCUCUCGAAACAGUUGCAAGGGUAAACAUGGGCGGAUCGCUGGUGUCGUUUGAAAAUGAUACACUUUGGAGAACUUGUUUCUUGACGCAGCGGAGUUCUGCUAAGUCGAUAAAUAAGAUUGCAUCUGUGAAAUAUCCACAGGAUGGAGCAACACCAGAUAUUGCACCACAACAGAUAAUUUAUGGUACUUGUAGUAAGAUGAAUGCGGCUGAUACUGGUGAUGAUCCUAAUGCCAAUUUUAAGGUGAUUUGGACGUUCAAUGUGGAACCUGGAUUCCAAUAUUUCAUUCGUUUACACUUCUACGACAUAAAAGUGCAGGGCUUUUUGGCCACAGCUUCUUUCAACGAUUAGGUCACUCCACCUGCUAAAAGUAACAGGCUUAACAUUAGUGUUGGCCCGUCCCCUUGGAGUGGCUUUCUUGACGCCUUUCUAAAUGGACUGGAACUUCUGUUCAGCGCUAUGGAACUUCCACAUGUUGAUACUGAAAAGUACUGUGACACUAACCAAAUUGGAAUAUGAUAAAUUCUUUUUCUACCUCAGAGAUUGUUUCAUUUCUUCAUUUUGUACUGGAUAUGUCUGCAUAUUUCAAUGAUCUGUUCAUUUUUACUACUAGGAUACUACAGGUAACUAAAGUAACAACUAUUAUGAAUACACAGUAAUAAUUGGCCUCAUAUAUAUUUGACAGAAGCUAAAAAUACAGUGUUCUUUGUUGUAUCUUUAAAGGUUGCUUAUUCUUCUCGAGUGGAAUAAGUGUCUUUCAUUAGUUUAAUUUAAUGAACUCUUUUGGCAUUUAGUACAAACACUUGUUGUUAUCUGUUAUAUUCUUUUGUCAAUCUUACCUAUCUUUCAGGACAUCAUAGGUAAAUUAUACAGACAUAUUUUUGACUACUGCUGAUGUAACUAAUCUCCGGAGAGACAAUAGAGACCAAUGCUGCAAAUUAUAUGUGAAUAGAAAUAACUGAUCAGGUGAAGUUAAAAAGUUUUUACCAGUAAGUCUUGUUGGUAGUGAUUGUAAUUUCUCCAACAAACUUUUAAGCACUCAUUGCUAUAUUGUAUUGACAUAUUUAUCUAAAUGUUCGUAUUCUGAAAUACAUUUGAUGACUAACUGUAUACCUUUUUUUGUCAGAAUCUUAUUCAUAUUUUGAACCUUUAAGCCAUUAUUGAUGGACGAAGUGAGAUUGCAGAUGGAAUAAGUGACGCAGAUCAGACUCUGCUCUCUUCAAAUCCUUAAAUGUUUUGCCUUGGAGGAACAGAUUCCCAAAUUGAGUAAAUCGUUAACCAUGAUGAAACAAAAGCGGAUCCAUUACAACCAUUCUAAAUGGUCAGAAAGUGCAGGGCUUUUUGGCCACAGCUUCUUUCAACGAUUAUGUUACUCCACCUGCUAAAAGUAACAGGCUUAACGUUAGUGUUGGCCCGUCCCCUUGGAGUGGCUUUCUUGACGCCUUUCUAAAUGGACUGGAACUUCUGUUCAGCACUAUGGAACUUCCACAUGUUGAUACUGAAAAGUACUGUGACACUAACCGAAUUGGAAUAUGAUAAUUUCUUUUUCUACCUCAGAGAUUGUUUCAUUUCUUCAUUUUGUACUGGAUAUGUCUGCAUAUUUCAACGAUCUGUUCAUUUUUACUACUAGGAUACUAUAGGUAACUAAAGUAACAACUAUUAUGAAUACACAGUAAUAAUUGGCCUCAUAUAUAUUUGACAGAAGCUAAAAAUACAGUGUUCUUUGUUGUAUCUCUAAAGGUUGCUUAUUCUUCUCGAGUGGAAUAAGUGUCUUUCAUUAGAUUAAUUUAAUGAACUCUUUUGGCAUUUAGAACAAACACUUGUUGUUAUCAGUUAUAUUCUUUUGUCAAUCUUACUUAUCUUUCAGGACAUCAUAGGUAAAAUAUACGUACAUAUUUUUGAUUACUGCUGAUGUAAAAGCAUCUCAAGCCCUCAAGAAAAAAGCAUUUGCAGCAUGAAAUACAUGCAAAGAGAGAAAUUACAUCUCUCACUAUAUGUUGAACUUAUCUCGGGAGAGACAAUAGAGACCAAUGCUGCAAAUUAUAUAUGUACUGAUGCUUCGCCCCUUCGCCCCUACUGAUGGCAGUUCUAUUGUUUAUUGUGGGAACAUGUGGCAGUUCCAUAAGAGUAUGGAAGACAUCUCCAAAUUGCAUGAGUUUUUCUGCAUUGGCAUGUGCAAGACUAUUUCUUCACUGUUUUGUUUUAAUAAUAGCACUUCAUAUUUACACCCAGACCUAGGUAAUAAUUUUUUUCCCUACAGCCUUGUAUACUUCACGCUUUAACUAUUGUGUUUUGUCUGUAACUGGCUUUAGUUACUUGUUCUACUAUAAAGGGUAAUCAAUGUCCAGAUGAAGUUUCAAUGGCUUA